rnacentral:lncRNA from 10 species
GGAACAUGGGCAGGGACAAAUAAGGGAAUAAAAGCUGGCCACCCCAGCCAGCAGUGGUAACCGGUUUGGGUCCUUUUUCGCAAUGUGGAGUCUUCGUCCUUUUGCUCUUCCCAAAAAACCUUGCUGCCUCUUACUUUUUGGGUCUGUGCCAUCUUUAAGAGCUGUAACACUCACCGUGAAGGUCCGUGGCUUCAUUGAUGAAGUCAGUGAGAAUCAUGAAGUCAGCCAGAGUACUGCCCUGGAGGGAAUCGACUGCCAGUUUAAGGAGUCAUUGUCCAGUUCAGACUCCAGAAUACGAAACGUAGAAACUGACAGGAAAUGACCAAGUAUAAAUUGCAACUUGUAAAGAAUCAUCUUAAAUCCUGGCACUGCGUUCAAGGGGGAGUUUGAGCAAGGAAUGUUGCUAAAACGGCUAAAACCAGGAACUCAGAAUAUCGUUCUACAAUAGAACCUAAAAACUGUUUCCAACCCAUCACGACAUCACCCUGAAAAAUGAGUGAGCAGUCACUGAGGCUUCCCAAGUUUGAAAAUUCCACAAGACUGAGAGCAAAUGUUUUGUUGAAACUGAAGUCAAGAUGAAGUCAGCUGACUCUCAAACCUCAGGUGAAGUGACUCAGGGCCCACACCCCGGUUCUGAGGCAGGGACACAUUUUACUUGCAGCACCCUGCAGCUUUGGAUGAGGCUGCAACCCGGGUGAAUCCUGGCCCUGCUAUCACGUGGGCAGCCACUGCAUCCUCCGGAGGCUGUGGAUGGGAGUCACCAUGCUGGGAGGUCUGGAGUAAGAUCUGUGCCAUCUGCCUUGCCCAAUCCUGUACCAGUGCCUGUGUUUCAAAAUCUCAAAAUAAAAGUGAUUAUUCUUGCA